GGUUCUGUGGCUCAACCGGAUAGAGCAUCGGUUUUCUAAACCGAAGGUUACAGGUUCGAAUCCUGUCGGGAUCACAA
rnacentral:tRNA from 1 species